rnacentral:lncRNA from 1 species
CAUCACCCAUCACUUCAUCAGCUUCAGCAUUUGGAGCAUCAUUUUGAACCUCAUCGAUAGUUUGAAGGUCAGGCCGACCUCUAAUAGGUCCCAGACGCUCUUUCUCAAGAGCUGAUAUAUAUAGGUCUGGGCAGACCUUUCUUAGAUGCUCAAGCAUCGACUGAGUAUUCCAAGAGGCCCAACAACUGGCAAAUAAGUCAUAAAGCUCGAUCUUCUCAAAAUUUUCAAUAUA